UUUUCAACGGCUCACCUUGCAGAGGCACCUACAGAACUAUUAUAGUGAAUAGUUCUGAAAGUGCCUCUGCAAGGUGUGCCGUUAAACUCAGCAAA
rnacentral:pre_miRNA from 1 species